GGAGGAGGAGGAGGAGGAGGAUGAAGAUGUCCACAGCUGAGAGGAAGACACGAUGAUGGAGUCUUUUUUGCUCCCGGCAUCAGCACCUGGGGGGAGGGGGCGCCACUGCGCAUGCGCGCGCCGCGCCGCCAGCGUCGGCUGCGGCCGAAGAUGGAGCCUCGGCGGUGGGUGUGUCGCAGCCCUCGGAGCUGGGGGGGGGGUGUCCGGACUCCGGCGGUUCAAACCAGAACCAGAGCACGUGAGCUGCGCGCGUUCGGCCGCUUUCGACCGAUUUCGGGGCGUUUCCGGCGUCUGCAGUACCUUAGCGCGUAAUACCAGGGUAUCUUACUGCUCGCACGUGUUCGUUGGGCAGACGCUUGUCUCCCAGGCGACAACAUGUCAGGGAGCAGCACAAAGACUGAGUUUCUCACAUGAUGCUGCCUCUGCUCUGGGACACUCAGUUUCACUCGUACUGUGGUAUAAGCAGUGCACAUCACAGAGUAGCCGCACAUGUGGGCUUUUUCCAUAUAUAUAAUGUUACUGUUAUUCCUGAUAUGAAACACACACGUUUAUCGAACUCUUAAGAGAUCAGGAAACUAAGUGAGUCUGAAGGAGGUGAGUUUUGAGACCCUUCUUGAGUUGUUAUUGUUAUUAUUAUUAUUAUCAUCAUCAUUAUUUCUAUUAUUGUUGUUGUUGUUACUGAGGGUUCUGUGUAUUUAUUGGAUAUUAAGUAUUAAUGUUCACACCGGUGUAAUUCUGACUUUAACGAUAUGUUUUGAGCCAAAGAGAUGCUGCAGGGUUCACGUUCUCCACCCGAAGGAAGGUCUGCCUGUCCAGUAGAGUUCGUUCCAGGUCACGGGCACUUUGGCUCCAAGUGGAAACUGCUCACACGGCGCAGGACACUUCGCGGCUAGACACGGAUUGGUUCGCAGCCCCUGGUUCCUGGCGGGUAUGGGAACCCCUCAGCCAGGGCUCCAGCCCGGUGCGGUGCCUGUGGAUGAGUCCGAGCCUGAGCUGCGUUCCUCACUUGUGUGUCCGCGGCACCAUCAGUGGCAGCAUCAUCGGUGCUGCCCACUGCAGCUCCCUCCUGUCAGCCCCUGUCGCAAGUGGCCCACCGGCCCAGUCCAACUUGAGUCUCCUUGUCUUUGUUUCUUGCAGAAAAACAGGUCUCCCACAACUUGCCUAAAUGGUGCUUCCCCCCCCUCCCUCCCGCCGGUCGCCAUGGUGCGACUCCUUCCCUCCCCCCCUUUCCCUGUCCCUGUUUGGCCUCACUCGUCUGGACUGUUCUCUCAAUGGUUGAUGUGCUGCAGCGAGAUCUCUUUCAACACAAUGAUAUUCUGUUCUAAGGAUAUGUAAUUAUUUGUUUGUUUUGUCCAAAGUGAUAUAUAUGUAUAUAUACAUAUAUACUAUACUGUACAUCGCCAUGUGAAGCAGUGUUAUGCUUUUCAGUUAUGCUGGAUCUUUUGCUGCUCAGUAAGCAGUCUGGACACCUUCUUUACAGAGACCUGGCACCACAAAGCUAUUUGUUGGAAACAGUUCCACUGGGGUCGCGGCCCAUCACUAUCUGUUGAGCUACCUGCUGGCAUUAAGAGGUCUUGAGAUCGAACCCUUGCACGUGCUGAGACUCCAGGCUCUCUGCUCAAGUGAGAGGAAGCUGUUGACUGAGUGAGUGGCUCGUUGUUGUGACUGAACUUGGGGGGGGGGUGCUCAGCCCACUGCACAACCCCCACUCUACAAUGGUGAACCAGACCAAUACAGCACCCUGUUUGAGGCCCAGCAGGAAACACCCCCCCCACCGCUCCACCUCUUUCUGUAGGAGGAGCAGCUGAAAAGGGGCCAAGUACUUCCCACAGGACUCCUUCAUCUGCAAGGUGGCACAUACUUUGAGCCUCAACUGCACUGCAAGCAGAGAUGAAGUUGAAGAGGGUAGUAAAAGCAAAAUGAGGUUGGUGUGAAGGUGAAAGACAAGUAGCCACGUUGUGCGGAGCUCUAAUUUAUCAUGAAGCAAAGUGAAUGCAGACAAAGCUCGGGUGAGAUCACGUUAAAUUGGGGAAAGAUGGAUGGGAAGGUGCAAACAGCACUUCUUUCUGAGUUUGGCUCUGGGACACGUGCAGAAGUUGCUUGUUUUCGGCAUAUUGAAUGCUUGUUUGGUUCUGUGAAGACUAUAGCGAUAGGAAAACGGUCUUCCUCUAGAGCGUGCCGUUCACCACAGGCACUGAAAGCAGAGCUGCACAAAUUAUGAACCAUUUACUUCUCAUGGAUGUUGUGUUGCGCUUCAUCCAGACCCGAUGAAUUUCUUCUCUGUGUGAUUUGCUGUCCUGACUUGCCUGUCACUGGACCGUUCUGUCUUUCUCUCCAUUAAUUUGAACCUGCAAAGUCCAAAUUCAGGAAAGAACUGACACAAGAACAGACCCUCCUUAGCAUCAGUCAAAUGAAACGAUGACCCUCCGAGAGAAGCUAGUAAGCAGUGUUUAAGGACACUUCAAAAGUAGUUGAAUGUCCCACAAUGGGGAUUGGACCCUAAGUCUUGUUGGCGUUACAGCGGCUUGUAGGAUGAGAGACGCCCUUGUCAGAGAGACUACACGUGAGAUUAUUUAGCAGAAUCUUUUUGCUUCAGCUGUAAUGUUAAGCCUCAGGGGGAUGUGAAGUGAACAACACCUUGGUUUUUCUGGACCAUCUUAUCAAGUAAAUAAGCCCAUAAAUUGCAAAAUAAGUAGAAAUUAAACUGCAAGAUUGGGAAGUCAAUGGAUGCAGAGCCAGGAAAGAGCUGAUUCUGUCUGAAUAGGUUAUCUGUGAAAACCAAAUUGCUUCUUGGGGCUGCAGUCUUUUUCGUAGGACAACAGAAUAACAUAGAACCAAAUGUGUAAAUGCAAGACCUUUUGUAGUUUCAUCCAGCGAAUUAUUAUUAUUAUCAUAUAUUAUUCUUAUUUUUAUUGUUGUUGUUGUUAUUAUUGUUAUUAUAAUAAUAAAGUUUCUCACAGUGAAACAGGGCAAACACCAGACAUUAUAAAACCUUUCAGCAUCCCAGAGAUGAACAUCGUAGGGUUUCAGAGACUCCAGGGCAGUGGGUUGGGGGCACCUGUGAGCGCUGCACCAGCCCAUGGUUAACAUCCCAGAGCAGGACCACAGUAUGACUGCUCUCCCCUCACUGAGAAUCAAGUCUAUAUGGCCAGUUGUGCGGAUGCUCCGAAAGUGAAGAGGAGCCCUGCAGACAUGAUCUGGGGUGUCUCCCACAGCAUUUCAGAAAUGCCUGCAAUGUUGUAUGGAAUACCGCUGUGUGACUUGACGCCAUGCUUCGUCUCAUAAUUUCGACUUUGGGUGUGUAAUGCAAUUUACAGAAAAAUACACAUUUAUUUGCAUA